GACGAACGCUGGCGGCGUGCCUAAUACAUGCAAGUCGAACGCUUCUUUCCUCCCGAGUGCUUGCACUCAAUUGGAAAGAGGAGUGGCGGACGGGUGAGUAACACGUGGGUAACCUACCCAUCAGAGGGGGAUAACACUUGGAAACAGGUGCUAAUACCGCAUAACAGUUUAUGCCGCAUGGCAUAAGAGUGAAAGGCGCUUUCGGGUGUCGCUGAUGGAUGGACCCGCGGUGCAUUAGCUAGUUGGUGAGGUAACGGCUCACCAAGGCCACGAUGCAUAGCCGCCCUGAGAGGGUGAUCGGCCACACUGGGACUGAGACACGGCCCAGACUCCUACGGGAGGCAGCAGUAGGGAAUCUUCGGCAAUGGACGAAAGUCUGACCGAGCAACGCCGCGUGAGUGAAGAAGGUUUUCGGAUCGUAAAACUCUGUUGUUAGAGAAGAACAAGGACGUUAGUAACUGAACGUCCCCUGACGGUAUCUAACCAGAAAGCCACGGCUAACUACGUG
rnacentral:rRNA from 1 species